UGCUUGUGGCGUGAAGGUGUCAAGUGAAAACUUGAGACUGAGCGGUUAAAGUCAAGGUCCAAAGCAAAAAUAGAGUGUGCUUAAGAACCCUGGACACCUCUAAUUGGGGACUUUAGCAAAGCUGAGUCACAAUCUGAAAAGGUUCACCCAAUUAUGUGUCUGUGGCAUUUAUGUAUCCGGUGGUAAUACUGGAAAACAAAGUGCUUAGGGCCACGGCCAAGACUCAUAAAAUAGCUGUGUUCA
rnacentral:lncRNA from 1 species